rnacentral:lncRNA from 1 species
AGAGCACCUGUUAUCCAGAGCCCCCCGCCCCCGCCCCCCAGUGCGCGCCCCUUUCAGGCCAUCAGGAACAUGUCCCUCUCCUCUAGACACUGGCCCCCCUGGUGGUUCAGACUCCCACAUGUUAGGCCACACGUUAGACCAAAUGGUAUCCACUCCUCUAAAGGGAAGCAUAUUGUGGUGUAUAAGUAAACCUCUCCCACUGCUUGUUUCAGCUGCAGUUCAAGCUCUGAUACAAAAAAAAAAAAAAAAAAAAGGACUCUGCUUUGGCCUGGUCCUCUGCUGAGCAAGAUGGUGGCUGGCAGACAGUAUUCCAAGGGACAACCUUGUCCCAGAAACUUCCUGCCUGAGGGAAGGUGAGUCUUAGGGCAGGGUUCCGAGGUUCUGCUCCAGGGCCUCAUUUAGCCUGGGGGUUGAGGAAUGGGAGCACAGGCCCUGGGGAGGAGAAUGAUGGAUUAGGACACAAGCAAACACUGGUGAGGCAUUUUCUCAGCUCAGCAGGCCAGGAAGACUUAGUUCUGUGGCUCUAAGAAGGUAAUUUUGCAUAAUACAUCACACGCACAAUCUACCUUCCUAGCUGCUCUCUCAUUAAAUGCACAGACCACUGCAGUGUGAUGGCUGGGCAGGCCUCUGAUUUCUGUUUUACAGUUAAUAAUAAUAGUGCCUAACAUUUAUUGGGUGGUUCCUGGUGCAUCUGACACUGUGCGAAAUGCCUAGCAGAGAUUGUUUGAAUUCAUAUAAUAAGAAAAGAUAAUACAAGAAGUUCUCACCAUGAUUUCACAUUUUUCAGAGGAGGCUUCUGAAGAACCAGAGAGUUUAAGUAACUUGUCUAGUAGCACACAGACUAUAGGAACCAGAGCCCAGACUCAAACACAUGCUUCUUGAUUCCAUUUCCAGGACUAGUUCCAUCAUAGCAGGACUUUCUCUCAAACCAAGAUAAAUUAGAUGCCUUUUAUAAGCAAGCUAUUUAUAGAUGUUAAAUAAUAUUUAAGAUGAAAAGGAGCAGAGGUGGAAUUCAGCACCAAGGGUUGAGGGAUAUGUAUGCCAUAGCUCUGCUUCUCAUUCUUUCUUCCCUAUCAAUCAUCUGCCUGAUAACUGUCAAAGGUGUCGCAGUCUCCCAGGGCUGUGAUCAGCUUCUGAGGAAAUUGCAAAAAAAUGUUAUGCGGAAAUAUAGGACUGUAGUUAUUCAUAAUUGUCACAGCCAUGAAUGGAUCAUCAGCCAUGGCAGCUGUGGUUCACGGGCACUCCAUUCAUUCAACCCAUAUUUUUUCUUUUCUUUUUAUGGCCACAUCUACAGCAUAUAGUAGUUCCCAGGCUAGGGGUAGAAUCAGAGCUGCAGCUGAGGCCUACACCAUAGCUUUGGUAACACCAGAUCUGAGCUGCAUCUGCAACCCACACUGCAGCUUGCGGCAUUGCUGGAUCCUUUAACCCAUUGAGCGAGGCCAGGGAUCAAACACACAUCCUCAUGGAGACUAUGUCAGGUCCUUAACCCACUGAGCCACAAUGGGAACUCCUUUUCAACCCUUAUUCAUUGAAGGCCUGCUGUGUGCCAGGCAUUGUUUUAGGCUUUGAGGUUAGGUUCCUGAGGGAAACUGAUAUGAAUUCUGCCCCCUGUCUAACAUGGAGUUUACAUUCUAGGGUUUCAUAGGAAAUCAGACCAUAUCAUACCAUAAAGAAGUAAAACAUAUAGUGAAUUAAGAGUGCUAGGUACUAGACAUUAUCUUCAAAACGGCAGUGUGAGAAGCAUGACAGAGCCUUUAAUUUAACCAGGGAAUCAGUUGUUUGACUGCUGAAAAUUAUUUAUGUAAAAAAGCAAGCAUUUAUGGUUUCAAAAAUUUUCCCCAGGGUAUGCAGCAAAUGGAGAACUUGCUAGUCAAGAAACUCUACCAAAUCUUGGUAAGAAUAGAGAGUGUGUGACAUGAUCUAGUCAUCUCCCCUGCUACCCCCGGUAUAGACUAGUGUGACAGAAACUCAGGAAAUGUACAGCUAAGAAGAUCUCACACCUAGAUCUCCACCUAGAUCUCAGUCUAGGGCUGUGGUUUCCCCUUGGAAGGGACAACCUCAAAGACUGGCAACACCCUGCCCCUGCAAAGGAGCCCUGCUUUAGUCAAAUCAGACUGUGGAGCAAUUUAUGCCUCAGGGUAUUGUUGAAAACAAUAGAACAAUCCGCUGGCAAUUAGUGGAGGCUAAUAGCUGGGUGUGAUACCAAUAAAUAUCGACCAGCCAAGUGCUCCAGGAGACCUUGCUCCUGCCCUCUGUGGAGCAACAUCAGAGGCUACACACUGCAGGAAGAAUAGACUUCACUCACCUUGUCUAGCCAGUCACUCAACAAAUAAGCAAACAGCAGCAGGCUACAGAAAAGGGAUGAGGGAGUCAGCACCCAGAAUUACUACAAUGUGUCGUCUGAAAUGUUCAGUUCUCAAAAACAUAUCAUGGGUCAUGAAAAAAAAAAGUAUGACCCAUACAUAGGAAAAAGGAGGCAGAAGAAAUUGUGUGGGGACCUAAAUGCAGGAUUUCCCAAAGAAACUAUGAAAAAAAUAGGUUAAGAGCUAUAGGAUGCUUUCUAAAGAAUUAAAGGAAAGUCUCAUCAAAUAGAGAAUAUGAAUAAAGAUAAAUUAUUUUUUAAAAUGGAAAUUUUAGAGUUAAGUAUAAUUGAAAUGAAAACUUCACUAGUAGAUUUAAUCUGGAAGAAGAAAGAAUCUGAAAAAUUAAAGGUAAAUCCGUAAAAGAGUGUGCAAUCUGAAGAACAGCGAGGAAAAGGAAUGAGGAAAAAUAAAACCUUUGAGAAAUGUGAGAUUUAAUUAAGUAUACUGACUUAUGUGUAGUGGGACCAGCUUAAGGAGAAGAGAGAGAAAGGGAG